rnacentral:rRNA from 1 species
UACGUAGGGUGCAAGCGUUGUCCGGAAUUAUUGGGCGUAAAGAGCUCGUAGGCGGUUAGUCGCGUCUGCUGUGAAAACUCGGGGCUUAACUCCGGGCCUGCAGUGGGUACGGGCUGACUAGAGUGCGGUAGGGGGAGACUGGAAUUCCUGGUGUAGCGGUGGAAUGCGUAGAGAUCCGGAAGAACACCAGUGGCGAAGGCGGUCUGCUGGGCCGUGGGAUCGCAAGGUCCCGGAGCUGACACUGAGGCGCGACAGCGUGGGGAGCAAACAGG